ACAAUUUACUCUUGUUUGUGUAAAGUAUUAACCUUCAACAUUAUUAAAAGUAAUUGAAAUUUUAAGAUAACAAUUAUAUCAAAUGCUAUAAAUUGCAUAAUCGUAACCUUCCUUAAAAUGAUAUUUGGAAAAAAACUAAUAAUUUGGAAGAGUAUUAUGAGAAUUUGUAUUUGUGCUUCUGUAUAUGGGAAGCAAACUGCUCACUUUCAAUGCUCAAGGUCUGAACUUAAUCUCCUUUAUAAAGCUCAGUUUCACCUUCUCUAGGUCACGUCACCAUCUCUACUUUGGAGUCGCUCAAGCACCCAGUUGUUUUACAAGGUGUUUAUUCUAUUUUCAUGAUUUAUUUUGGACUAUUUUGAAUUUAUUUAACGUAUUAAAAAAUUAUAAAAUUAUUUAAAUGAC